rnacentral:rRNA from 1 species
AUGGCUCGCCAUCUUGCUCUCCUCGGCCAGCACGAAGGUGCUCAUCAACGGAGACCCCGGCCCCACCAUUUGGCACCGGUGUGGCCUUCGCCAGGGCGACCCAGUGUCCCCGCAGCUGUUCGUCCUCACCGUCGACACACUCGGUCGCCUUCUACGCCGUGCCACGGAGCUAGGCGUCCUGCAGCGAUUACACCCCCGGCGCCCGAUCCCCUCGGUCUCCCUCUACGCCGAUGA